rnacentral:tRNA from 1 species
GGGCCUGUAGCUCAAUUGGCAGAGCGCUUCCAUGGCAUGGAAGAGGCAAGGAGUUCGAACCUCCUCAGGUCCA